UUUUAAAUAUAUAUCGAGAUCGUCAUUAUGACAUAUCAUCUUAAUCCGCUCUAACUCACUCCAAAGAAUAAGAACAAAAAUUCAAAAUUAAUGUGAUACGAGGAGGGGGUAUUUUGUGUUGGUGGAAAAUUAUAGACGAAAACAUGUACAUAAUAUGUAUUAGAUAAAUAUGAAUUUAAUGAUAUACCUGUCUCACACUGU
rnacentral:lncRNA from 1 species